CCGCUUCUUCCACCGACAACGAUUCAACGCUUCCCUCCUCCCUCUCGCCCUCGACUCGACGGCGAUCGACGCGGAAUCGCAGCAGGAAUCGGAGUCUUCUUGAAGGAUCCAGUAUUGGAGAAGAGAUGGACGCUUAAUGAUUUCGAUAUCGGGAAGCCCCUUGGAAGAGUGCCAUUUUGGUGAAGCUGAGUUACCAUAUUGUGGCACUGAAAGUGCUAUUCAAGUGCCAGCUCAAGCAAUCUCUAGUCGAGCAUCAACUGCGACGUGAAGUUGAGAUACUGAGUCAUCUUCGGAUAUUACGCCUAUAUGGUUACUUCGAUGAUCAGUACACUGCAUCUUUAGCACAAGCUCUGAUAUAUCGCCACGGGAAGCAUGUGACGCAUAGAGAUAUUAAGACAUAGAACUUACUGAUUGGACUCCAGGGUAGGUUGAAAAUUGCAGAUUUUGGAUGGUCAGUCCACACAUUUAACCGUAGACAAACCAGACCAUGUGUGGAAACACUAGAUUAACUUCCCCUUGAAAUGGGCAUGCUAAUCUUUACCAUCAGUGAAUCCUAUAAAGAUAGGACAAGCAUGACUCGAGUGUGGAUAUUUGGGGCUCCGGUGUAUUGUGCUACGAGUUCCUUUAUGGGGUGCCUCCAUUUGAAUUCGAAGGAACAUUCUGAUACAUACAGAAGGAUUGUGAAAGUUGAUCUUAUCAACCAGGUGACCGAUAAGAUAGAUAGAUCCUUUUGAGUUUGUGCCAGUGCCCUUGAUAAGAACAAUUGUCUCAGUUAGAACCCCAAAUGGUUUGAAAAACUUAAGAGAAAAAAUAGACACCUGAUGGCUUGCUAUCCGAUGGAAUAUGGUGAGGAAUCAGAAAGGACAAGGAGCAUCGGAGAUGAUGAACUUUGACAGAAGAUGCAGCAAAUGAGAAUGAUGAUAUGGGAAAUGAGUUGACGAGUUCGGUGUAUCCAAGGGACGAGGAGCUACAGACAAUGACAGAUCUAGAAAUCAAAGAUGGACUGGGCUGAUGUCAAAUUGAAUGAGUCCGUCAAAGACACCAUAGAAGAGGGAUUAUCAUAGAAGGUCUGAUCGCUGAUGUCGGUAUUAGAGAAUUUGCUGCUGACGAUGAGAUAGAGGCAGUCUAUCCAUGAGCGCAGUGCAAGACCAUACUCGAGCAUCUGACGCGAGACCUUAAUCUACAACUACUUACCUCCGGUGUCAAUGUAAGGGUAUGCCCACGUGGAGGAAACGUCAAUCCAAUCAUGGAAGCUACAGUCGAGAGUGAUCAUGUUGACAACUAUGCCUCCGAUGGUGACAUCCUGGCCACAAAUGGUGACAGUGAAAGAGCAUGGGGACAAGUAAAUGAGGGGGAGGAGGGAGACGAUAUCGUCGAGGGACGACGAGUAGAGGACGACGAUGGGACGAGCGAGGCGAAUAAGGCAAAAAAUUGUGCUGUGAUUUCAGAGUCAAGGAUGAGGAUGAUAGAAAUAAGGGCUACCUUCCAUGAUCGUAGUUGGCUGGUAGCUAAAGAAAUAGCAACCAUGUAUAUUGCAAAUUUAAUCUGAAUGGAUAGGAGAAAGAAGAAAUCCGUAUUUAUAAUUAUAAUAAAAAAAAUUAAUUAAAUAAAUAUAUAGUUGAAUUAAAAA